GAAUUCGCCCUUAGAGUUUGAUCCUGGCUCAGGACGAACGCUGGCGGCACGCUUAACACAUGCAAGUCGAACGAGAGAAGAGAAGCUUGCUUUUCUGAUCUAGUGGCGGACGGGUGAGUAACACGUGAGCAAUCUGCCUUUCAGAGGGGGAUACCGAUUGGAAACGAUCGUUAAUACCGCAUAAUAUAAUUGAACCGCAUGAUUUGAUUAUCAAAGAUUUAUCGCUGAAAGAUGAGCUCGCGUCUGAUUAGCUAGUUGGUAAGGUAACGGCUUACCAAGGCGACGAUCAGUAGCCGGACUGAGAGGUUGAUCGGCCACAUUGGGACUGAGACACGGCCCAGACUCCUACGGGAGGCAGCAGUGGGGAAUAUUGCACAAUGGGGGAAACCCUGAUGCAGCGACGCCGCGUGGAGGAAGAAGGUCUUCGGAUUGUAAACUCCUGUUGUUGAGGAAGAUAAUGACGGUACUCAACAAGGAAGUGACGGCUAACUACGUGCCAGCAGCCGCGGUAAAACGUAGGUCACAAGCGUUGUCCGGAAUUACUGGGUGUAAAGGGAGCGCAGGCGGGAAGGCAAGUUGGAAGUGAAAUCCAUGGGCUCAACCCAUGAACUGCUUUCAAAACUGUUUUUCUUGAGUAGUGCAGAGGUAGGCGGAAUUCCCGGUGUAGCGGUGGAAUGCGUAGAUAUCGGGAGGAACACCAGUGGCGAAGGCGGCCUACUGGGCACCAACUGACGCUGAGGCUCGAAAGUGUGGGUAGCAAACAGGAUUAGAUACCCUGGUAGUCCACACCGUAAACGAUGAUUACUAGGUGUUGGAGGAUUGACCCCUUCAGUGCCGCAGUUAACACAAUAAGUAAUCCACCUGGGGAGUACGACCGCAAGGUUGAAACUCAAAGGAAUUGACGGGGGCCCGCACAAGCAGUGGAGUAUGUGGUUUAAUUCGACGCAACGCGAAAGAACCUUACCAAGUCUUGACAUCCUGCGGCGCACAUAGAAAUAUGUGUUUCCUUCGGGACGCAGAGACAGGUGGUGCAUGGUUGUCGUCAGCUCGUGUCGUGAGAUGUUGGGUUAAGUCCCGCAACGAGCGCAACCCUUAUGGUCAGUUACUACGCAAGAGGACUCUGGCCAGACUGCCGUUGACAAAACGGAGGAAGGUGGGGAUGACGUCAAAUCAUCAUGCCCUUUAUGACUUGGGCUACACACGUACUACAAUGGCGUUAAACAAAGAGAAGCAAGACCGCGAGGUGGAGCAAAACUCAGAAACAACGUCCCAGUUCGGACUGCAGGCUGCAACUCGCCUGCACGAAGUCGGAAUUGUUAGUAAUCGCAGAUCAGCAUGCUGCGGUGAAUACGUUCCCGGGCCUUGCACAAACCGCCCGUCA
rnacentral:rRNA from 1 species